rnacentral:lncRNA from 1 species
GAUUACAGAUCUACAAAAGUGGCUAUUUAUAGCCCCGUACAGAUGACUUCUUAUCUGACUAGAACUCUAUCCCUAAUUCAAACGGAAAACGAAUAUUUACAAGUACGAUUCGUACUAGGUUGAUUAUUAUGCGCUCCAUGGGCUGAUUCCCUCUUCAUCUUUAUAGUCCUUUCUAAGCCCAUACCGGCCCAACUAUUCCAACCUCCUAAUCGGCCGAUUUCCUCAUCGGCGAGGGGCAACCAA